rnacentral:pre_miRNA from 1 species
UGGACAAAUUAUUGUAUUCGACUGUAUCACGGCGUGAAACAUGGGAUUACACUGUUUUUAAAAUAAAAGUGAAUCAAUUAAUAUAAUAGACUCCU